UGUGAGCCAUUCAGGUACAGCUUAGACAACCGAAGAGCAGAGAAAGCUGAAACACUGUCUCUACGGAGGGGACUGUUCACAAGCCGUGGCUCUCUGAGCGAUGGAGUUUUCAGGCACAGGGUCUCCAAAGAAAGAGUGUGACAUUUCUCUUUCUGGGUAUGUGUUCAUGUUUUUCUUAACAAUCCUCAUGAUCAGUGAACGGCAUCACACUUAAUCUUCAUUUUAUAUUUGCUAUGUCUUGGAUAUGAAGUCUCUCCAGAAAAGGCUCAUAUGUGAAGCUUCUUCCCCAGGUAAAUACAUGCAGUACCUGAAGGUGCCAGAAGAGGGCGUCAUAUCCCCUGAAACUGGAGCCACCAUAUGGAAGCUAGGAAUCAAAC